rnacentral:sRNA from 1 species
UCACUGUCACAGUGAGGUGCUCGCACUGU